rnacentral:rRNA from 1 species
UACGUAGGGACCAAGCGUUGUUCGGAUUUACUGGGCGUAAAGGGCGCGUAGGCGGCGUGACAAGUCACUUGUGAAAUCUCUGAGCUUAACUCAGAACGGCCAAGUGAAACUGUUGUGCUAGAGUGCAGAAGGGGCAAUCGGAAUUCUUGGUGUAGCGGUGAAAUGCGUAGAUAUCAAGAGGAACACCUGAGGUGAAGACGGGUUGCUGGGCUGACACUGACGCUCAUGCACGAAAGCGUGGGGAGCAAACAGG